rnacentral:pre_miRNA from 1 species
AUCUAGUCAAUGUGUUUGACGGGUGUAGUCUUUAGUGCACGUUAAUAUUUACAAUCGUGACUAGAGUUACACUCGUCAAAUUCAUCAGGCAAAA